CAGUCGCCACGGUAAUACGUAGGUGGCAAGCGUUAUCCGGAAUUAUUGGGCGUAAAGCGCGCGUAGGCGGUUUCUUAAGUCUGAUGUGAAAGCCCACGGCUCAACCGUGGAGGGUCAUUGGAAACUGGGAAACUUGAGUGCAGAAGAGGAAAGUGGAAUUCCAUGUGUAGCGGUGAAAUGCGCAGAGAUAUGGAGGAACACCAGUGGCGAAGGCGACUUUCUGGUCUGUAACUGACGCUGAUGUGCGAAAGCGUGGGGAUCAAACAGGAUUAGAUACCCCCGUAGUCCCUGUCUCUUAUAA
rnacentral:rRNA from 1 species